UGCGUAGGCGGAAGAAUAAGUCAGUAGUGAAAUCCUGCAGCUCAACUGUAGAACUGCCAUUGAAACUAUUUUUCUUGAGUAUAGUUGAGGUGGGCGGAAUGUGUCAUGUAGCGGUGAAAUGCUUAGAUAUGACACAGAACACCGAUUGCGUAGGCAGCUCACUAAACUAUCACUGACGCUGAGGCACGAAAGCGUGGGGAGCGAACAGGAUUAGAUACCCUGGUAGUCC
rnacentral:rRNA from 1 species